GUGGCCCCCCGCGCCGCAGCCGGCAUCGCGGCGGGACCCGGAGCCCGGAGUUCGGGUGGGUAACCCGAGCUCUCCAAGCUCUUGAAGCCGCGAGGGUGGCUUAGCUUCGGUGUUUUGGCUGAGAACACCCUUAAAGCUUAAAAUAAAACCUGCCUCUGGGGUGCAGGGGAGGAGAGAGGAGGACGCGAAUCACACCCGCUGCUGCGCGCCAGCCCGCCCCGUCUGUACAAUGGGAUGCUCGGGACUCGGACGGGAGGAUCCAGUGACUGCGAGCCCCGCAUUCGCCCGAUCCCAGCCUCACACCCCCAGCCAGCCCCCAGAGACCCUCCCACACUUACGAAGGAAAUGCAUGCGGCCAGGAGGAGAAUCCGCACCAGGAGCAGGGAGCUCUACCCAGGAAAAAGAAGAAAAGGACAGAUUCAUUUGGGGUUCAGCCUCAUGCCCCCCACACCCAAGACUUUGUGGCUAAGAGAAUCAGGCCACCUUGAGGUUCAUCAAGUUCAUCCCAUUAAAACCUCCCAAAACUCUGGAAAAAAAA
rnacentral:lncRNA from 1 species